rnacentral:snRNA from 8 species
AUACUUACCUGGCAAGGGAGAUACCUUGAUCAAGAAGGCGGUUCACCCAGGGCGAGGCUCAGCCAUUGCACUCCGGCUGUGCUGACCCCUGCGAAUUUCCCAAAUGUGGAAAUCUCGAUUGCAUAAUUUAUGGUAGUGGGGGACUGCGUUCGCGCUCGCCCCUG